GCGGGUGUGGCGGAAUUGGCAGACGCGCUAGACUUAGGAUCUAGUGGUUACCCCGUGCAGGUUCAAGUCCUGUCACCCGCACCA
rnacentral:tRNA from 1 species